GCUCCGGUGGCCUAGUGGUUAAAGCGUCUGCCUCAAAUACGGGAUGUCGUUGGUUAGAUUCCCGGUCGAAUCA